rnacentral:ncRNA from 1 species
CCGGCGAGUAGAAGCGUUCAGCACGGUGGGGCCCUGCCCCGCCGUCGCCCGGAAAUUGCUCGAUCC